ensembl:miRNA dre-mir-148 microRNA 148
AGUAAAGUUCUGUGAUACACUCCGACUCUAAUUGCUUGCAGUCAGUGCAUUACAGAACUUUGUU